GUGGGGAAUCUUCCGCAAUGGACGAAAGUCUGACGGAGCAACGCCGCGUGAGUGAAGAAGGUUUUCGGAUCGUAAAGCUCUUUCGUUAGGGACGAACGUGCUCUUUGUGAAUAAUGAGGAGUAAUGACGGUACCUAAAUAAGAAGCCACGGCUAACUACGUGCCAGCAGCCGCGGUAAUACGUAGGUGGCAAGCGUUGUCCGGAAUUAUUGGGCGUAAAGCGCGCGCAGGCGGGAUAUCAAGUCUGUCUUAAAAGUGCGAGGCUCAACCUCGUGAGGGGACAGAAACUGGGAUUCUUGAGUGUCGGAGAGGAAAGUGGAAUUCCAAGUGUAGCGGUGAAAUGCGUAGAGAUUUGGAAGAACACCAGUGGCGAAGGCGACUUUCUGGACGAUGUCUGACGCUGAGGCGCGAAAGCUAGGGGAGCGAACGGGAUUAGAUACCCUAGUAGUCC
rnacentral:rRNA from 1 species